AGGAGAUUAUUUUUUCUCUUUUCCUUUCCUUUCUUUCUUCUUCUCCGGCGUCUCUCUCGGCUCUCACCUCUCUCACCUUCUCUCUUCGAUUUCAUCAACCACGAGUGAGACUUUUGAAAAAUCCCAAGUACUAAAGUUGUUCUACGCGACGAGAGCUUCCUAUCCAUCGAAGAAAAUUCACGAUUGGAGCACUUCGAAGUUUCCUCCAUGUUCGGGCUUGCUUCUAACCCUCGAGGUACUCGUCAUGGCACUUAGCUUGGAUUGCAUGGAGUGCACAUUGAGACGUCUCUUGAGAGCUUCAUUGGAAUCAUUAAGGAGGUGUUUUAUCAUCUAGUCUAAUUCAUGUCGUGUACUUUACUCACAAUUGAAGGUUGUAUCUUUUGGUUAGAACAUAUGUAAAGCUAGGUAUAAACUCCUCUCUUUGAUUAUUGUGAAGCCCUUUUAAUGGAAUAUGUUUGGGAGACUUUAUGUAAAAAAAAAAAAAAAUUAGAGAGAAGAAGAAGAAGAGACUUUGAUUCUUUGUUUGGAUUGGCUUGACAUUUAAUGGUAAAGAUAGUUGAGGAAAAAGAUUUUUGUUUAUAGAAAAUAUAUUAUUAUUUUAGUUGAAAAUCGAGGGCGUGACAGUUACUUAAUAAGCAAUGCAAAAGUGGAGAUCACCCCACCAGAUUACGUAUUCUGGACAAUACUCUGCAAUGGAAUCUCUCUUGCCGAACACCAAUUGAAGAAAGCUCAGUUGCUGUUUACAAUAUUAGACGUAUCAGAUACCAAUUUGUGCCACUUAAAGAUUUGAGUGAAUAUGCCCGCGACACCCGAGGCUUUGGUAAAUUCAUAAAUCCAAAAGAAUUUAAUUUUGUUUGCGUCAUGAUGCAACAGAUGUUCUCUUUGCCAUAUUCCAUAUUGGUCCUAAACACACUACAAAGGAUGACACCCCCAUACAAAAUAUAACUGUCAUUGACACAAGGUAUGUUGUGUCAUGCAUCCUAUUAACAACAUAAAUAUAGCAGUCUUUACGGUUUAACAUCAAAGCUAUAUUUUGUGUGCUACCAACAUUCUUAAUCAUCCACAAUAUAAAAUUCGCAGCAACGUUUCAACAACGCUUGUGCUAUGGGGCAGUUCACCGAACAUGAGGGAAAAAUAAUGGCUACACUUGAAGGACCAUUCUCUAUUGUGCAAGGAGCAAGAUUGAAAGUUAACAACUAUCAAGGUAAACCAUAAGGAGUACUUGUUUUAAAAAUAGUCACCCAUGUUUAUGGAAUUUAAGGUUGUUGGGGAUUGGGAAUACCAUUAUGUUGACAGGUUUCCAGCUGGCUACAAGAGGUUCUACUACCUUCAACUUCAAUCUGCCAAUUCUU